ensembl:lncRNA
UAUGGCCUAGUACAAACAAAAGUGUUUUCUUGACAGUGUGAGGGUUGUAUAUUAAGUCUCACAAUUUAAGUGAGGAACAGAACACCAAAAAAAUCAUAUGAGAGAAAUGACAAAAAGAAACCUCAGUAAGCAGGGAAUACCAGAUGUGACGUACCUAAAGUACAUAUGGGGAGAGAAUCAAAGCAUUCAAAAGAAAGAAAACAAUUAUUUUGGCAUGUUUACAUUCAUAGUAAUACAUAUUCAACUGUAAUUUAACACAGGUGAAGUGAGUUUAUACCCGGGGGUGGUAGCCAGAUUUGUAGAGGUGUACGUUGCGUCCUGCACCCGGACACUUCUCACCUCGAGGACACUUCAUGGAGUACCUCCACACCCCAAGAGGGCGCCACACAAAGGCACGACUCAGAAAAAAGAGCUGUGCUGUUGGCAGAGCACCACUCACGUAGCCAGGAGAUUCUGGGGGAUAAAACCACAUACGGUCUGAUUUCAUCACCCGUCUUCUCUUGAGCUGCCCAGUGAUGUCCUUGUAGGUAUGUACUGGGGUGAACAGCCCUCUGUCUACGUCCUCUUUCAGCCAGGAUACGUCCACAGAUGGGAUGCCAUUGGGGUCUUCCCACAGACGCACCCAACCCUCUAGCUCCACCUGGAACACACAUAUAAACGCAUAACGACAGUUGGUUAUUAUUGUGUACAAAGUUAUGUUAAAACAUGUAAAACAAAUUGUUCUCAUUUACACUGCUUGUAAAUCAUGUGAGGAUCACUUACAGGGGAAUCAGUCUGAGGUGACUCCAUGGGAUGGUCAUGACCCCGGGAUGUGGACGGGGACUCAGGCUGCGUGUGACAGACAGCAGUGACCUCAGGCUGCCUGGGCUGCACAGCGGUGGCCUCUGACUGCAUGUGCUGGACAGCAGUGGCCUCGGGCCGCUUGUCCUUGGACAAGUGCUUAGACUUGUGCUUGUGCCUGAUCUUGCGGCAGACAGCGGUUGCCUCGGGCUGCUUGGGCUGUACAGUGGUGGCCGUGGGCUGGACGGCAGUGGCCUCGGGCUGCUUGGACUUGUGCCUGUGCUUGGGGUGGACAGCGAUGGGCUUGGGCAGGGUGGACUCAUCUCUGGGCUGGGACUUCAGAGACUGACUGCUGGACUGCUUGACCGAAUCUGAGAAUUUACCAAAGAAAGUAGUUUGUAUUUUGAAUUAAUAAUUUAAAAAAAGUUUGAUGCUUUGAUAAGCUUUGUAUCUCACUUACCUUCCACAGACUGGCUUGCAGCUAAGAGUUCAGUCUCAUCACCUGGCCAUGACAGGUCACACUUGGGGGUGCUUGCCUGGGGUCGGGGUUGCUGGACAACAAAUGUAAUGCAAUUAUCUAGAUUUUGUAACAUACCAGUUUUUAAUUACCAAAGGCAAACAAACACAUUAAGCCAAAGAGAUAUAAACAAUCACUCAUUUCAACCAUGUUCAUUUACUGUGCUAUUCUGCUCUGAUAUCCUGAUUCAUAUACACUUACUUGCUCCUUGUCAGUGAUGUACUUCCUGAACCGCUUCAUCUGCACACUUGUGAUGUGGGUCACUGGCGUGUGCAACCACCUCCU